rnacentral:rRNA from 1 species
CCUACGGGUGGCUGCAGUGGGGAAUAUUGGACAAUGGGGGGAACCCUGAUCCAGCCAUGCCGCGUGUGUGAAGAAGGCCCUCGGGUUGUAAAGCACUUUCAGUGAGGAAGAACGCCUGGUGGUUAAUACCCAUCAGGAAAGACAUCACUCACAGAAGAAGCACCGGCUAACUCCGUGCCAGCAGCCGCGGUAAUACGGAGGGUGCGAGCGUUAAUCGGAAUUACUGGGCGUAAAGCGCGCGUAGGUGGCUUGAUAAGCCGGUUGUGAAAGCCCCGGGCUCAACCUGGGAACGGCAUCCGGAACUGUCAAGCUAGAGUGUAGGAGAGGAAGGUAGAAUUCCCGGUGUAGCGGUGAAAUGCGUAGAGAUCGGGAGGAAUACCAGUGGCGAAGGCGGCCUUCUGGACUGACACUGACACUGAGGUGCGAAAGCGUGGGUAGCAAACAGGAUUAGAUACCCCUGUAGUC